rnacentral:rRNA from 1 species
GUAGUCUCGCACAGAUGCAUAUCAAUAAGCGGAGGAAAAGAAACUAACAAGGAUUCCCCUAGUAACGGCGAGUGAAGCGGGAAGAGCUCAAAUUUGAAAUCUUAAAGGGUUUCCCUUUACGAAUUGUAGUUUAAAGAAGUGUUUUCUGUUGAGGUUUUGGUAAAAGUUCUUUGGAAUAGGACAUCAUAGAGGGUGAGAAUCCCGUAUUUGACCUUUACUUUCAACUUUGUGAUACACUUUCAAAGAGUCGGAUUGUUUGGGAAUGCAGUCCAAAAUGGGUGGUAAAUUUCAUCUAAAGCUAAAUAUUGGCGAGAGACCGAUAGCGAACAAGUACCGUGAGGGAAAGAUGAAAAGAACUUUGAAAAGAGAGUUAAACAGUACGUGAAAUUGUCAAAAGGGGAAGCGUUUGACACCAGUGUUGUUUUUCUGAAAAUCAAUUAAAGAACUGUUUAUGCUAAGUUGUUUAGACUUUAUCAGCUAACUGUUUAGUUUUGAGCUUUUCUUUAAUGCACUUUUCAGUUAACAAGUCAACAUCAAUUUCUUUUGCUGUAAAAAAGCUUGAGGAAGGUGGCUUGGGAUUCGUCUUAAGUGUUUAUAGCCUCUUGCCUAUGCAGUCGGAGAGAUUGAGGUCCUGCAGCGUAGAUCCUUCGGGGCUAAAUGCAUUUGUGCUAAGUUAUAACAUUUUAUAGACAACUUGUUGACUAUGAUUUGUCUUGUAGCUUACUCGCUUAUGUUAUUUUACCUACGCUUAGGAUGUUGAUCUGUAGUGCGUGCGC